UACGUAGGGUGCAAGCGUUAAUCGGAAUUACUGGGCGUAAAGCGUGCGCAGGCGGUGAUGUAAGACAGAUGUGAAAUCCCCCGGGCUCAACCUGGGAACUGCAUUUGCGACUGCAUCGCUGGAGUGCGGCAGAGGGGGAUGGAAUUCCGCGUGUAGCAGUGAAAUGCGUAGAUAUGCGGAGGAACACCGAUGGCGAAGGCAAUCCCCUGGGCCUGCACUGACGCUCAUGCACGAAAGCGUGGGGAGCAAACAGG
rnacentral:rRNA from 1 species